CCAUUAACAUUUUUAAAGUAUAAACUUACAGAUCUCUCUAGCUGGAGACAUGUGAGACAAGUAGAGUCAUCAAGAUUUAUUGUUACAAACGUUUUCUAAUGUAUUGCUUGCAGUGCGAUUAGUUUGCAACUCAGCAGUUGCAAAAAUAUAUUGCUAUCAGUUGAAAUGUAUGAAUAGUUCGUAACCUCAGUGAAGCAUCUGUAUUAUGUACUCCUGUAGGAAAGCACAAAAUAUUACAGUACCUGAGAGGCUCCCAGCAACCUCUUAAACUGGGUCUGUUCCAGCACCUUUUAGCUAACUGUAUGGGUUAAGAAACGUUUGGAGAUAUGAUCUUACAUGAAGGGUAAUUUAUCAUUGCAUAUUUUGUUGUGUAUUUUUAUCUAACUUGUUAAAAAACCCACAGACAACAUUUCCAGACUCACCUAAGUGACUUAGAAGCCUAGGUCCUGUUGUCCAGUUGUGCUGGAAGAAAGACAGGAGGCAAUAGGUGUGGUUCCAUUAGGCCAAAACUUUGUUCAUUUGAAAUAUCUGGGAGUACCCGGCAGUAAAUUGUACAGCGCAAGUCCUCAUUCUUUCCUUAAUCAUUUCCACAUAAUACCCAAUCUGGUCCCAGCCAUCAUGCUGCUGGGACCUCUCCCCUCGCCUGAGCUGAAAGGAAGUUAUGAAAGGAAGGAGGUCAACUCCCUACUAUGCAAGACAAAGGAGCCUCAAACCCCCUUCCUCAGCUCCUUUAAGGGAUGCUUUCCUUCAAAUCCUUCUCCAGUCCAUUUUAUCCAGUAACAGUGUCCCUUCCAUACUGAUUACCUGCACUGGACAUCUGCUGCAAGUUUUGUGUACCAAGUUGCAACAUUAUAACCUACCCCCUCUGCCCCACUGUGUCCCAGACCUGCUGUGGCGAAGGCAAAAAAAACCCCAAACAGCAUAAAAGAGGGCCUCUCUGUGAUUGGCUGGGUAUAAAUAUUCCCCCCCACCCCCCCCACACUUCCUCCCCCACUCUGGUCAGCAGGAAGGGCAACAGAGUGAUGGUCUCUUGACUUUGCCCUAGUUAUGUCCUGCCCUCCUGUCCGUCCCUCCUCCUCACUCAUUUAACUUGUAAUUUAAAUGUCAAUCAAGUACUUGUUUCAGUUUAAGCUUAGCACAUGUGCUAAUUAUCAUAACCAGUCUUACAACAUUUUUAUUUUGAGAUCUUGAAAAUCAGGGUGUGCGUUUUUUAUGGCCCUUCUAUUGCAACAUAACUGCUAAUGAGAAAAAAAUUGAAUGUUUACAUUGCCUUUGGCUGCUAUGCUGUACAAUCCUAGAUAGUGAUUCCAUCCUGUUCUAAACUAAUACUUAUUUGCUUUGUGGCACCACAGAACUAAAACUGAAUCAAACUAUGCAUUCAUUGCCUUACAAUAUCAUUCCUCCCUCUCUUACUGCUUCUAGUCACGGCAUUUUCUCUUCUGAUCGGAGAACAGAACACAACUUCAUUGAGACCACUGUUGGUAUCUCUGUGAAUCAGUCUGUAGGGCAAAGAAAGCCCUCUGUUUGGCUAUACCGAAAGGACAGGAGACACUGGAUGUGGUUUCAUUUAGGCAGCAACUUUAUUAACAAUUGGCUGGGUGCACCCAGCAGAUAAAAGUGUAAAGUGCAGAGUCCGUGCCCUGGGCAUUCACCCCAGGCUUACAGAAUGAGUUGCGACAUCACAGCCAAACUCCUGUUCUAUGCUCGCUUCAACUAAGCACUCACCCCCACCCCCCAAAUGUACUGUGGGGAAGGUGAACCCCACACACACACGCUGUCUUGGCCAAUCUGGUGGUGAGGAAAAAUUUCUUUUCCAAUCUCCCCCCCCCCACCCCCACCCCAAGAAAGGAGUCAUUAGUGUAGUGAUCCUGACCAAACAUGGUCUUUCACCACUUUUAUGGCUGGGAGGGUGGGUGCUGCUCUGCCUGGUCCAAUUAAAAGAGACCUUUUCCUGCUUGGCUUGCAUCUAAGUACUCCCCACUCUUCUGGUCACCUGCGGGGGAUGAGUCCGCAUGCCCAGGCUAACCUGCUCUGAAUCUGCAGCAACGUCCAUGCCUCUGCCCUUUAAAGAGGUGUAGUGCUUCCCCCAGCAAGCCAGACAACGCCCCUGCCACCACAGGCUUAAGGUGUGGUGUGGUCAUUCUAAAAAGUAGAGAUGGCAAUACCUAGCUUUUCUGUGGAGUCCUCGAUUAGUUACUAGGAACAUGCCCACCAAUCUGACUUAAUGAUUAUUGUACUGAACUAAUCCUUUCCAUAUAGGAAAUAUAUGUGUUUGUAUAAAAUAAUAAUCACCUUCCAGUAUCCUCUUAAAGCAGAGGUAUUUCAUUUUCUUUUCUCUACCAGCGAUGAAAAUGAAUGCCAUAUUGCUAAAUAUUAUGAACCUGCUUUGUGCACAGGGUUUAGGCCACCAUUUACUCGGAACAGUUUUAUUAUGAUAAAGAACACUUACUGCCUGGAUUGGCAAGCCCAAAAUCUAAAUAUUAGUCUUCAUUUUUUCAAAUGUCGCGUGCUGAGGAUAAAAUAAACUCUGUCAGCCUUCAUUUUAAGGUGAAGAUAAGUUUAGCUUCCCAACACCAAACAACUGAAAGCUCAGAGUUUUUGAGUUGUGAGCCUGCACAUUGUACUGUUCUCCUUCUGACUGCCAAUAUACUGACACUUUAAAAAAAAAUCAUCAUGUGAUUGAACAUAUCAACAAUGAUAAAAGAUAAACAGCCCUCAGCUUUGUGUUUUUCUUGUGUGGGAUGAAUGUAUUUUGCCAGAUUUCUACAUCCUUGCGUUAUCAAACGUAAAACACCCACAAUAAUGCUCUAUUUUUUAAAAGUUCCUGUGAAGCCUAAAUUGCAACACAUUUUAUGGGUUGGUUUUCUGGUUUGGACUGGUAGGUUUUCUGACUACGUCCAAAGGCAGAUCUUUCUCCGAAGGUAGUCCCAAAGAUAGAUAACUAGCCUGGGUUUAUCUGGUUUCCACUGUUAUUCCGAGUGCUUUUGCAGAUACUUAUUUUUCUAAACUUUAUCAUUUCUAAAUAGUGCCGCCUUAUUUCAUGUGAUUUUUUCCUGUUCACCUGUGGUAGUCCAGGGUGCAUGACUAAAUGGACGAAUCUUCUAGUUUUGCUGGUCACAGCUAAGCUUUGAUGAUAACGUCCCUGUCAGAUGAAUGGGAAAACUCUACACCACUGUUGGAGCUAGAUUAUACUGUUUGAUUUCAUGACAAAAGAGUGUUAUGGUUAAACUAGUACAACCUGUUAAUCUUUUUCUGUGUGCAUCCUUUGUAGAAUUAAUACCAUUUAUGUUUUCCCCAAAUCAGUCUGAAUCCUAAAGGUACCAAUCAUCCCCACGUGAGCUGAACAUGAAAUUAGCUUGAGGACUACGUUUCACAGUGCUGUGGCCAGGCCUGCACACACAAGUUGCGCUGAUUUAGCGAAAUCAGUUUAGGCAGAUUUAGCUACAUCAGUGCAAGGCCGUGUGUUAGACCCUCUUAAAUUGGCUUAAGUGUGUCAGAUGUUGUCUUAGCCCAGUCCACACUAAAAAGUUAAAUCGACCCAACUACGUCACUCAGGUGUGAAAAAUCCACACCCCUGAGCAAUGUAGUUGAGCCUACCUAACUCCCAGUGUAGACAGCACUAGGUCAACUGAAGAAUUCUUUCAUUCACCCAGCUGCCACCUCUCAGGAAAGUGGAUUAACAGCAGUGACAGGAGAACCCCACCGUUUGCUGUAGUGAGUGGCUACACAGCAGUGCUGCAACUGUUCCUGUAACGGUUUAAGCGUAGACAUAACCUAAGCUAAUGUCAGCAAGCAAUCAACUUUAGCUAAAUCGAUACAAGGUACUCUUAAUCUGAUUUAAGAAUGCCCUCAGAAGGUGGAUUGCACUAAUCUAACUAAAUCUGUUUCUAAACACAUUUACUGAUAAAUCAGUUCAACUUUUGUCUGACAAGGUCUGAGUCUCCAGGGUGGGAAGGGCUUGACUUGUAUACAGCUGGCAUAUACUACACAAUUCCUAGUUUUUGUGAACUCAAGGUUCAGUGCUGCCAAUACUCCAUGUAAGAAACAUGGUGUUCCCUUCAUUUUUCCAAAGACGUGUACCUCAUUCAAGGCCCAGAAAGGAGCCCUAACACUGCUCCAAACUCCUGUAGUGGUAACACGUUGCCUUCAUGCUUCAGUUCUUUUCCCACCCUCACCCAUUUUCAUGCUGAAAUGUCCUCAGUUUGGUGUAACGAACAUAUUGGCAUACUUUUGUGUUAUAUUUUUGCAUACUCCUACUUACUGUGCACAGUAUCUGCUUGUAAAUUUGGAGUCACUGGUAGAAUUGAUUUACAUAAAAUGUUUUAUUACUUUUGGCAGUGGCUUUGGGUUGUAGAAUCAGUGACUUACACAUUCUAAUGGCUGUUUUUCUCUUUUUCCCUACACUACAUUUGCCACUAAGAAAGUGGAUUUUCCUUAUGUGAAUUUCUUUCCAGUAGCAGAAAGCUGAGGUUUGACAUCAUCCUACUGGUAUUUUCCCCACUGCCAAUAUCAUUUAUAGUCUUCCUUCACAAACUAGAUUUAAGGGCCUUUGGGGAUCUAGCUGGCAUUUAAAAAUGCUAUGCAGCUCUGUUUUGACAUAGGCAGAACUGUGGCCCAAAUAGCAAUUUGACCGAAAUCUGAAAGGUAUACCUAAUUUGUGUAGGGGUGUGUGUAUUGUUCACACAUGUCUGCAUUAAUUUUUUCUACAAUCUAAAGACAUUUAUGUCAUUGAUUUAAUAAUGCAUUUCAUAAAAAUUAAAAGAGAGAUUCAGCGGAGAUUCUUUCACAGCCAGGCAGUCUGUGUCAGCAAUUUUUAUUCCUCUCUCUCUCUCUCGUUGAUUUGUAUGUUUUAUUUUGGUGGAUAUUUCAUUAUGUUCAACUAAAUAAAACAUACAAAUCAAGGAGUUUACAAAUCAAGUUUAGCAACAUUUGAAACUUCUCCCUAAACGGAUGUGUGCUUUAGUUAUUUGUGGAUUGCUCCAGAAAGAGACACAUGAAAUCAUAGCUCAGUGGUUGCUUUGUGUUUGUUAUAUGCAGACUGUACAAAUGUUGUAUCUAAUUGGGAGGAAAAAAACCUCUGAGGAAUUGGGAUGAAAAUGUUGACUGUAUACUCAGAUAAAGAACCAGUGUUUUAAUGACUUUACCCAUUUUUAAUAUAUGGAAGAUGUCAAUUAAUUAAUUAUUUUUAUCACAUUUACUCAUUUAAUGAAAAAAACUGGUAAAAAUGGAAAUGAAAGUGUCACUGGAUUACUGUCAGAGAGACAAUAAAAUAGUUUACUUAUAUGUAUGGUUGAUUUACAUUCUGCUAAAGACAGUAGGAGCUUGCCUUUGUGAAAACUGAGUCAGGAUCUCAAGCACUGGCCCCAAAAAUGAGCACAGGUGUAAGUAGGACAGAAAGCUCACAGUUGUUAGGUAUUAGAUAAAUGCAGUGUUCCAGGUUGUUGGAGGUACAAAAUGACAGGAAGUGGAUAAGCCUUUGCCUUUAUAGUAGCUGUUACUGAGGUUUUUUGCUUCAUUGCUAUUCAUAGGUGGAAGCAUGAGUGUCUGUUAGCUGUUUCUUUUGUAGAAUGCUGUGCAAGCCUAGCAAAUGGCAGAAUUAUGCAGCUAAGAUUUCCAGGCUAUUUGUGGGUACUCAGCAUACCCAUUCUUCUUUUCUGAAAGAAUUUCACAUUAGUCAUAAUUCACGUAGGGCAUGCCUCUUGAUUGGAGUGUCAUCUUUUUUGCAGAUCAAAGGCAGAAGGACGGGU